UAUUGAAAUUACUUCAUUAAAAAAAAAUUCUUUUAAUUCAUUAAAAAAAUUAGAAACGCGAUGAAUCAAUCAUUUUCAUUAGGAACUAAAACCAUUGCUUGCUUAGUACAAAUGAAUCAAUGAAUCAGUUAGUCUAAUAGCGCAAUGGAUAAGUGUUUUACUGAUACUCUCAGGGCGCUGCUGGUUUUGUAUGUUAAGCCUUGUUCGGACUAGGCGAGUAUUUUAGUCGAGUACCGAGUAAUUUAGUAGCUAAAUGUGUCUGAACACCAAAAAUUUAGUCGAGUAGGUUAGUAAAUAAUUUAGUCAAAUCAAUUCAUUUUGUUCUAUUUUUUCGGGCGAGUAGUGCCUCCCACCACGAGUCCUUGCUCACUGGGUCACUGACUAAACAUGUCCGAACCUGUUGAUUAGUCGACUUCAUUAGUGGCCGCAAAAAUGACGUUUCGCUGGAGCGAAGAAACAUCUUUGAAAUUUGUUUCCAAAUAUGUACGAGGGCUGCACUAAAAGUAUCGGGAAUAGAAUAUUUCCACAGUUCCUGUCAUAUUAAAAUCUUUUUAAUUGAAAACUCCUUGGUUUUAAAAAUCGAAUACCAUUUAUUUAUUUAAAAAAAGAUUCUCGGUCUUGUCACGAGGUUUUGUCAAACUUGUUUAGUCGUUGAGAAAAUGGAAUUGACUCGAGAAAAUUCAAGAGCGAUGAUUUAUUAUGACUUUCGAAGUGGUUUAACACAAAAACAGUGUGUUGACCGGAUGAUUUCUGCAUUUGGUGAUGAAGCCCCAUCCAAAACCACAAUUUAUCGCUGGUUUGCUGAGUUUCAACGUGGACGUGUCAAGCUCAGUGAUGAUCCCCGUCAAGGUCGUCCAAAAACUGCAGUCACCCAAGAAAACGUUGAUGCUGUGCGUAAGCUGAUUGAGGAAGAUCGACAUGUGACAUACCGCGAAAUUCAGGCAACUUUAGACAUUGGCAUGAGUCGAAUACAAAUAAUCUUGCAUGAACAAUUAGGUGUAAAAAAGUUGUUUUCCCGAUGGAUACCGCAUUCGCUCUGUGAAGAGCAAAAAGCGGCUCGCGUUACUUGGUGCGUCAGAACUCUCGAAAGAUUCCACGCAGGAUCCUCAAAUGCUGUAUACAACAUUGUAUCAGGUGACGAAUCCUGGAUAUAUGCGUACGAACCCGAAACAAAAAACCAGUCACGAGUUUGGGUGUUCGAAAAUGAGUUAAAGCCAACAAAAAUUGUUCGUUCACGGAGUGUUGCAAAAAAAAUGGUGGCCACGUUUGUCUCCAAAACCGGCCAUGUUACGACUAUUCCUCUUGAGGGACAAAGAACGGUUAAUGCAGAAUGGAAUGCUAGCAUUUGUUUGCCACAGGUCGUUUCUGAACUCCGUAAAGAGAACUGCAACCGCCGCAUCAUCCUCCAUCACGACAAUGCGAGUUCUCACACCGCGCACAGAACAAAAGAGUUUUGAGAGCAAGAAAACAUAGAAUUAUUAGACCAUCCGCCGUACAGCCCCGACCUAAGCUCUAAUGAUUUCUAUACUUUCCCUAAAAUAAAGAAUAAAUUGCGUGGACAGAGAUUUUCAUCACCUGAAGAAGCUGUGGACGCCUACAAAACGGCCAUUUUGGAGACCCCAACUUCCGAAUGGAAUGGUUGUUUCAAUGAUUGGUUCCAUCGUAUGGAGAAAUGUGUCAAAUUUCGCGGAGAAUACUUCGAAAAGCAAUAAAUUAGACUUGCGCAAAACAUAACUUCCCAAUGUAAUGUGAUAUGACAUCACUUUUACAGACAGGUGAUAUUACUCGAAAACAUUACACAUCACUCUUAACAUUACUCGGUGCGUUCAAUAGAUACUGUGACGACGAAUACAUUGUAUCUAUACACCCGAAUCAUUACCUAAGUGAUGUGUUGAUACACAUCACUUAGGUAAUGAUUCGGGUGUGUCAUUACAAUAGUGUAUUACAAUACAAAGUAUGAACUUUGUAUUGUAAUACACUGUUAGAUUACUUGACAGAGAUUGACUUACUUAAUAAUAUAAUAAUUUUAUUUUUUACUUAAUAUAAUUUAUUGUGGGAUGAACGGAUUUCAUAUGGCGACUUAGACUGCAAAUUGAGCUCGACAAUAAUGUUAAUAUACGAGAGCAGUAGAUGCAUUGUUUCGGCGCGAUAUCCUCAAAGUGCAUCCAAGGAGGACUGUACUUUCAUUUAGACGCCGUUAUUUCUUUCACUUAUUAAACACGCAUUAAAACAAAUAAUAAAACUAUCUUCAAACAAGUGCUUAAGUAAUUCAAAUCAAACACAAAAAUUAAUAUGAAAUAUUACUAAACAAUUACGACCGACUAGCGAUUUUAUAAAAGUUGCGAAUAAAAAAUUAAGUAAGUACUUGCGGGGAACUACCGGCUGGCCGAAUGAAAAAUAUAAACACAAAUACCUAUAUUAAAAUUCAGACGUACCAUAGGUAUAAAAAUGUACCUAGCGGCCAGGACAUACGGUUCAAAAUCACUAGGAAUAAUUCCGUGUCGCUUGCUCAUUUAUUUUGCGUCGAUCGGUCUGUCUCGCUCGCUCUGUUCCGUUCGUGUAUUAAGCAACAUUACACGACAAAGAAAGAAACAUGUUGGGUGAUAGUGUGAUGUUUGUUUCCUUCGCGUAAUGUGUGAUGUUGCAUUACAUCGUAGAGUAAUAUUACCCGAGUAAUAUCACUCGCAUUACUUACACAUGUCUACAAUAAAUACAUUUUUAAAUAGUAAUGUUGUGUCACUUCGUUAAUUCCCGAAAUUUUCAGUGCCGCCUGGGUACACCAUGAAUGCUUGUGGAAUAUUAAGUCCCCGCAUUAUAAAAACAAGCAAAUGAAACUAUCCGCAUAUUUAGAUUUAGAAAAUACUAUGAAUAUACCCGGAUUUGGUGAAAAGGAAAUCAAAUUGAAAAUUAUAAACAUCAGAUCGACUUACUCGCAGGAGUUAUAAAAAUAAAGGACUCCAAAAGUUCAGGCGCUAGGACCGACACGAUUUAUUUUCCUUCAGUAAAAUGGUUCAGUUUAUUGGAUGCAUCCCUUCGAAACUUAAUCUCAACACUGAAACAAAGUGAAAGUAAUUUAGCUUUUGGAAGCCACACACUAAUGAUGCAGAUACUGAGGAAAAUAGUCCUUUAGUGGAUACUUUUCGUAAUCCUACACCUCCUCCACCUCCGACAAAAAAAGAGGAAAAUCGCCCAGUUCUCGUGCAUGGUUGGCCAAUUAAAAGAAAUAAUUGAUAGUAAUAAUUCUACAGUCGAAGAAACUGAGUUUGAGGUCUUCGGUAAAUACGUCGGUCUUCAACUGAAAUCUUUGCCCUUACUAUUGGCAUUAGAAGCACAGGAACAAAUUCAACUUUAGAACGCCACAGUCAUCGUAUGCUACUGGAUCACCAUAUAACGAUUCUUCAAUAUAUUAUAAUGACACCAGUACAUAUAAUUUGGAAGAGCAAGCAACUGAAUGUAAGUCCUUAUCCAUUUUAGCAAUGCAGAACGCUAACGUUGACAAUCAAAAGUGAUGGGAACAAACAAAAUACUUACAAUAAAAUGCCUAAAAAUGUUAAAAAUUAUUCUCUUAAUAAAUAAAUGUUUCAUAAUAAA